UGCAGUCGAGGGGUAACGGGGAGCUUGCUCCGCCGACGACCGGCGCACGGGUGCGUAACGCGUAUACAAUCUACCUUUUGCUAUUGGAUAGCCCAGAGAAAUUUGGAUUAAUAUAAUAUAGUAUCAUAUUGCCGCAUGGCAUUUAUGAUUAAAGGUCACGGCAGAAGAUGAGUAUGCGUCCUAUUAGCUAGUUGGUGUGGUAACGGCACACCAAGGCGACGAUAGGUAGGGGCCCUGAGAGGGGGAUCCCCCACACUGGUACUGAGACACGGACCAGACUCCUACGGGAGGCAGCAGUGAGGAAUAUUGGACAAUGGGGGCAACCCUGAUCCAGCCAUGCCGCGUGCAGGAAGACUGCCCUAUGGGUUGUAAACUGCUUUUGUACAGGAAGAAACAUCCCGACGUGUCGGGACUUGACGGUACUGUAAGAAUAAGGAUCGGCUAACUCCGUGCCAGCAGCCGCGGUAAUACGGAGGAUCCAAGCGUUAUCCGGAAUCAUUGGGUUUAAAGGGUCCGUAGGUGGAUGAUUAAGUCAGAGGUGAAAGUCUGCGGCUCAACCGUAGAAUUGCCUUUGAUACUGGUCGUCUUGAAUCAUUAUGAAGUAGUUAGAAUAUGUAGUGUAGCGGUGAAAUGCAUAGAUAUUACAUAGAAUACCAAUUGCGAAGGCAGAUUACUAAUAAUGCAUUGACACUGAUGGACGAAAGCGUGGGUAGCGAACGGGAUUAGAUACCCCGGUAGUCCACGCCGUAAACGAUGGAUACUAGCUGUUCGGGUUUACCUGAGUGGCUAAGCGAAAGUGAUAAGUA
rnacentral:rRNA from 1 species